CACAGAAGAGUGGCUGUUGAGCAGCUUAAGUUGGCCGAGCCCUGGAGGAAGUGUGCGCUGGAGGCGAGGCUUUCCAUGUCAGGGUCCUAAAGAGUCUUACUAUAUUGCUCACGCUGUUCUCCACCUCCUGGGAUCCAAACGCCCAGGUCAGCUUCCAGAAUCGAAGGGAAGAUGGAUGUGUGUGCUACCUGCCUGGCAAGCCCUAAAGUCACAGAAACGUGGGUGCACUGAAUGUCUGUUCUACUAAAGAGUGUGGUCCUUCUGACCUUGGG
rnacentral:lncRNA from 1 species